AUUGUAUGUGUCGUCGAUCUCGAGUGAACUUAAUAUACCAGUCAGAUACUUCAAAGAAGAUAAUCCUCAUGGUUCAGUUGGUGGUUUGUAUUACUUUAGAGAUAUUAUCAUGGAAGAUAACCCGGUAACAAUUGUUAGCUUACGCAGUCUUUCUGUUUGUUUUGCUGAUUUAUGAGUUAUUAUUUUACGUUUUGUUGCAGUCGCAUAUUGUUUUGUUGAAUUGUGAGUAUGUUGCAGCUUUCCUCUAACAGAAAUGCUUGAUGCACAUAGAAGGUAUGGUGGGAUGGGUACAUUGUUAGUUAUAAAGGUGUCUGCUGAGUCAGCUAGCGAGUUUAGUGAAUUAGUUUCUGAUCCAGAUAAGGGCUGGUUACAUCAGAUAAGGGAGAUUAUUAAGUGGCGGGGCAAUUAUGCUUCUAUGCAAUGGCAUCGAGUGUUCAAGGGGUCAAGGGGCAUUUUUGGAAUUUACUUGCUGCCUGGUACAAUCUGGUCGACUAGCAUCAAGGGGCAUUUUAGGAAUUUAUUUAUUGGAGUUGGUAAAAAUAACACUAUGUACAUUUCUAGAGUGGCCAAAGAGGAUGCUGAUAGGGUAGAUUUGCUCAACAAAAAACUCCAGUAUCAUUGGCUGCACUGGUACUAUAUCAUGCUUCAGCAGGUUCACGGGAAUUGGCAUACUGUGGUGUGAAGUUCGGCAGGCUGUGCCUUUUAUUCGAGCUAGAAGUGUUGCUGUUCUGCAUCAAGACAGGUCGCUAUGGCGGGUUAAGCUUAUGGAUAUCCUCUCAGUUUGGCCCCGGGGUAAUUUCGUCGUUAUGGGGUGACAGUUUCUUAUCUUUCGUGUUUUCUGCCUGGGUUUCGACUAAACUGUGCUGCAGUCGAAGCCUGGAUCGAAGGAAGAAUUAUUUGCUGGAGGUCGUUAAUGUUGUGGGUAGGGGUAAAAUGGUCAUUAUUGCUGCAGGGUAUGCGAAAGUCUCCUUAAAGCAGCUGUAUGGUCAAAACAAGCAAUGCACGCUGGUUUGGAGCUCUAUAAAAACCCAGCUGCGGGAUUGUGCUAUGCUGAUGAAGAAGAACGGCUGGACUCAUACUUUGUUAGUGUAUGAUAGUAUGAUACUAUGACUAUACGUAUCCUGCUGGACUCAUACGUAUUGCAGAUGUGAUAGCCGAUACAGAUCACACAAGUUUCUUCACCGGUGCAUCUGGUUAGACUUUCAUCUGGUGAUACGGAACUUGUUUGCGAGGGUUUGUUUUCGCAUCCGAAUGAGAUUUGGGACCUUGCUUCGUGUCUGUUUGAUCAAUGCGUGUUUUCUACUGUUUUCUCUUCUGAUAUUGAAGACAGUUUCAAGUUUGGCUUUAUUGCUGAUGAUAAAAGAAAAUAACUUCUACAACUUGGGUACCCAUACUUGCAAUUAGAAUUUACGUCGUGGUCACAUACGAAAGGUUAAAAGGAUAGGUAUAAAGGUAAGAAUGGUUGACUUUGAUUAGCGAAACUGAGCCAUUUCAACUCACUAGACCUUGAAGUUGAACCCAACUAUAUUAUUAAUCUUUAUAAGACAAAUUUGGA